rnacentral:rRNA from 1 species
UGGGGAAUAUUGGGCAAUGGGCGAAAGCCUGACCCAGCAACGCCGCGUGAAGGAAGAAGGUUUUCGGAUUGUAAACUUCUGUCCUCAGGGAAGAAGAAAGUGACGGUACCUGAGGAGGAAGCCCCGGCUAACUACGUGCCAGCAGCCGCGGUAAUACGUAGGGAGCGAGCGUUGUCCGGAAUUAUUGGGCGUAAAGGGUGCGUAGGCGGCAAUACAAGUCAGAUGUGAAAUCCCCGGGCUUAACUCGGGAGUUGCAUUUGAAACUGUAUAGCUUGAGUGAAGAAGAGGUAAGUGGAAUUCCUAGUGUAGCGGUGGAAUGCGUAGAUAUUAGGAGGAACACCAGUGGCGAAGGCGACUUACUGGUCUUUUACUGACGCUGAGGCACGAAAGCGUGGGGAGCAAACA